rnacentral:misc_RNA from 1 species
GGGAAAACCUGAAGAACUCCAAGGCUUUGAGGCCAUUGGAAUGAGCUGCAAAAAGGCGGCCAAGAACAUUCUCAACAAAGACCGUAGAGAGAGACCCCGGUGAGAGAUGCUUCAAGAGGGUGGGGUGUAACGGUUCAUCAGGAAAGCAAUUAUCGUUGAUGAUUUUGGUAAUUCUUUCAACUUCAGUCAAGCUGGAUAAUUUACAAGUAAUAAGGAAAAGAAAAUGAGGUCGCUUGCGAGUGAUUUGAAAGAGUUGAUUACAUCUGCUCAAUGUUAACAAAGAAAGCAUUAUCCUUAUUCCCUUGUGAAAUUUAGAUUGCAACUAGUCUUCCAUUUCAGGCCACAACACGUCAGCUCCUAUCUUUGAUGCUGCAAUAGAUUACUGACAGAGGAAAUAUUUGUGCAGAAGCGAUCAUUCACUGCUUCGGACAAAUCAGGGAAAAGAACAAUCAACCACAUUUUUGCAUUUUAUUCCAAAAUUGAAG